rnacentral:rRNA from 1 species
GAACGCUGGCGGCGUGCUUAACACAUGCAAGUCGAGCGGUAAGGCCCUUUCGGGGGUACACGAGCGGCGAACGGGUGAGUAACACGUGGGUGACCUGCCCUCAGCUCUGGGAUAAGCCUGGGAAACUGGGUCUAAUACCGGAUAUGACUCCAUGACGCAUGUUGUGGGGUGGAAAGCCUUGUGCGGCUGAGGAUGGGCCCGCGGCCUAUCAGCUUGUUGGUGGGGUGAUGGCCUACCAAGGCGACGACGGGUAGCCGGCCUGAGAGGGCGACCGGCCACACUGGGACUGAGACACGGCCCAGACUCCUACGGGAGGCAGCAGUGGGGAAUCUUGCGCAAUGGGCGAAAGCCUGACGCAGCGACGCCGCGUGAGGGAUGACGGCCUGG